rnacentral:rRNA from 1 species
GACAGAGGGUGCAACCGUUGUUCGGAUUUACUGGGCGUAAAGCGCGUGUAGGCGGCUUCGCAAGUUGGAUGUGAAAUCCCACGGCUCAACCGUGGACGUGCAUCCAAAACUGCGUCGCUGGAGUCUCGGAGAGGAAGGUGGAAUGCUUGGUGUAGAGGUGAAAUUCGUAGAUAUCAAGCAGAACACCUGCGGCGAAGGCGGCCUUCUGGACGAUGACUGACGCUGAGACGCGAAAGCGUGGGGAGCGAACAGG